AGUCAAUAGAUACCCGGGUAGUCCAUGCCGUAAACGAUGAUUGCUAGGUGUGGGGGGUCUGACCCCUUCCGUGCCGGAGUUAAACACAAAUAAGCAAUCCACCUGGGGAGUACGGCCGCAAGGUUGAAACUCAAAGGAAUUGACGGGGGCCCGCACAAGCAGUGGAGUAUGUGGUUUAAUUCGAAGCAACGCGAAGAACCUUACCAGGUCUUGACAUCCACCGAAUCCUGUAGAGAUACGGGAGUGCCCUUCGGGGAACGGUGAGACAGGUGGUGCAUGGUUGUCGUCAGCUCGUGUCGUGAGAUGUUGGGUUAAGUCCCGCAACGAGCGCAACCCUUGUGAAUAGUUGCUACGAAAGAGCACUCUAUUCAGACCGCCGUUGACAAAACGGAGGAAGGUGGGGAUGACGUCAAAUCAUCAUGCCCCUUAUGACCUGGGCUACACACGUACUACAAUGGCCGUUAACAGAGGGAUGCAAUACCGCGAGGUGGAGCGAACCCCGUAAAAACCGGUACU
rnacentral:rRNA from 1 species